rnacentral:rRNA from 1 species
GCUGUGCGUGAGGACAGACAUGGGGAAGGUGCAACAAGGCAGCGCUCAAGUUGCAGUGGAGUGGAGUCGACCAUCACUACUGACCGCUGCUCGGCGAUCCUCGCCCCUCACCCCCCAUCUAGAUGUGGUUAGGAACUAAAUCGACAAGCAUCGAUAUUUUUGUUAGGAAGGAGCGCUAGGAGCCUAGGAGUGGAACACGAUUUCCUCGAAUCUAGCCGAGGCCUCUGCUUUUUUCGUCAUCUUCCAUCGGUCCAAGCUGCUAUUGUUCGCUCCGUCGGCUUGCAGUUGCUUCUGGAGCGUGCUUCAGAUUCAUUGUGCCUCCUUCCAAUGUGCUAAGAAAACUUGAGGUUCAUGAUUUGCUCUUGGAUCAAACUGAAAAUUAAUUUCAGUUGAAGAAUUAGUAGCAUGUAUCCUCUGAUUACCAACAGGGAAGAACUGCUCCAGUCGAAGAGCAGACAUUAUUCAUUGUGCCAACAGACUGCCUGGAAAGGAAGAAAUCGUAUGAAGUACAUCAGCACCCAUCUUAUCACCAGUUGGGGGAUUGUUUUUUCUCUCCUCGUCAACAAAGCUUGCAUCAGGCGGUCGGGUCGGAGAGAGAGACUUACCUGGAGCUGUACAAUCACACAGGAGAGGGUGGAGGGGCUCAUGGCGGCGGCGAGGCAACAGGAGGAGGGAGGGGCCCGGUGUCGCCAACGAGCAUGCCAAGCUCGAGCGCCUCCUCGAGCACUUAGGCGACUGGAUUCGAAGAAGGAGCAGGGCAGAGGAGAGGCCUGGAGUCC